AGCGAACGCUGGCGGCAUGCUUAACACAUGCAAGUCGCACGGGUGGGGUAACUCAUCAGUAGCGGACGGGUGAGGAACACGUAGGAACAUGUCCUGAGGUGGGGAAUAACGCCGGGAAACUGGCGCUAAUACCGCAUAUGAGCUGAGGCUCAAAGCCGCGAGGCGCCUUGGGAGUGGCCUGCGUACGAUUAGCUAGUUGGUGGGGUAAUGGCCUACCAAGGCUACGAUCGUUAGCUGGUCUGAGAGGACGAUCAGCCACACUGGGACUGAGACACGGCCCAGACCCCUACGGGAGGCAGCAGUGGGGAAUAUUGGACAAUGGGCGAAAGCCUGAUCCAGCAAUGCCGCGUGUGUGAAGUAGGUCUUCGGAUUGUAAAGCACUUUCGGCGGGGACGAUGAUGACGGUACCCGCAGAAGAAGCCCCGGCUAACUUCGUGCCAGCCGCCGCAGUAACAC
rnacentral:rRNA from 1 species